rnacentral:rRNA from 1 species
GAUGAACGCUGGCGGCGUGCCUAAUACAUGCAGGUCGAGCGAACAGACGAGGAGCUUGCUCCUCUGACGUUAGCGGCGGACGGGUGAGUAACACGUGGGUAACCUACCUAUAAGACUGGGAUAACUUCGGGAAACCGGAGCUAAUACCGGAUAAUAUAUUGAACCGCAUGGUUCAAUAGUGAAAGACGGUUUUGCUGUCACUUAUAGAUGGAUCCGCGCCGCAUUAGCUAGUUGGUAAGGUAACGGCUUACCAAGGCAACGAUGCGUAGCCGACCUGAGAGGGUGAUCGGCCACACUGGAACUGAGACACGGUCCAGACUCCUACGGGAGGCAGCAGUAGGGAAUCUUCCGCAAUGGGCGAAAGCUUGACGGAGCAACGCCGCGUGAGUGAUGAAGGUCUUCAGAUCGUAAAACUCUGUUAUUAGGGAAGAACAAAUGUGUAAGUAACUAUGCACGUCUUGACGGUACCUAAUCAGAAAGCCACGGCUAACUACGUG